rnacentral:lncRNA from 1 species
UGAGACCACGAAUCCACCGGGAGGAACGAACAACUCCAGAUGUGGUGCCUUAAGAGCUAUAACACUCACUGUGAAGGUCUGCAGCUUUGCUCCUGAGCUAGCUAGACCACGAACCCACCAGCAGGAAAAAACUCCGAACACAUUUGAGCAUCAGAAGGAACAAACUCUGGACACGCCGCCUUUAAGAACUGUGAUAUUCACUGCGACAGUCCGCGGCUUCAUUCUUGAAGUCAGACCAAGAACCCACCAAUUCCGGACAUAGGAAUACUAGCAGGGACUUUCUGGACAUUCGGCUCGGAGUUGGUUAGUUGUUCAGGAUGGUUCAAAGCAAAAGCGGCCUGUAAUAGUUGAAUGAAAGAGAAAUAGUAAAUUCUCCUGCGGGUGGCGAAUCAGGAGGGAAGGUGGAGCCCACAAUCUUUGCAAACUCUCUGGGGAGCCAGGCGGCGCCAGCCUAGCCCGAGGAUGGAGGCUGAGGCCGCCUGUUGAGUCACAGGUUUUGGCAGAGUUCAAAGACUGGGAAGCAAAGUUCAGCCAUGUUGGGCCUUUGGGCUCAUAGAUGAGCAAGGGUACCCCAAUAUGAGGGCUCAGCAAAUUCUGGAACUUAUCAGUUCUGAAGACCUUUAGAGGAGAAGGAGACAAGUAAAAGGAGGAUGUGAGGAACCAGGAAUUGAGAUUUGGCAUUAAUCUUCAUUCUUGUUGCCUAGGGUUGGCCUUGCGUAUUGGCAAUGAAACAGGCUAUUUUUGACAUUGAGUUGUCCAGCAUUCUCUAAGGUAUGUAGUCCUGGAGGGCGCUGCUUAAUGAACCAGAAGUCCUGCCUCUUAAGUACCUCACCAGCUCAAAUGUGUGCAUGUCACCUUGGCGUGAAUCGGAGCAGGCGCUGGUGGAUACCGUUUGGAGGCAUGCCAGCAAGGAGCUCCUUGUGUAGCCUGCCUCUGGAGCCUCAAGUUCAACUUCCAUAGGGCCAAAAGGGGAGUCGGGCUGGGCAGAAGCUCCUGAGAACCAAAGCAAAUGGUCUGAGAGUCUGAGAGUGUAGUGGAGGUAACGUGUUCGUGUCCUCUCUGGCUGCAUCACCCCAAGUCCUUGCAGACUCAAGUAGCCUAUUUGCAAGUUUAAAUAGUUUGAGUCCUGGCCGGUAACAAGAAUACUCUACAGUGGCCCAGAGUCAGGGAUAUAGAGUGGCGACUACUUGGCAGAACUGGAGCUUGCUCAGAUGAAAAGAUAAAUUGUACUGGUUAAACGAAGAUCAAGUGCAGGGUCUGGACUUUGUUUCUAUCUUUCAUGUGGACUCUAUAAGCACCUACACACAGCAUUCUAGAAACACUGCUCCCAUCCCUCCUGUCUCAUGUCAUCCUCCCAAUUCCGGGAGUUGGGGGGCAUACUCUUUCCCUGUGUCAUGUGAGAAAUUCCUUUCUCAUGGGAAGCAGGUGGCAUUCCUGGACUCUCCUUGGCCUGGCCGUUGGUAAGCACAGGAAUUCAAGGUGUCUGAAUCUCUUGUCAAAGGUGGGCUGUAAGGCUCCAGAAGAGGAGGACAGAAAGUGCCUGCAGAGCUCCUGCCUGAGGCCUUUGGAUGGGCCCUGCUGGCUUGCCGUGUGUGUGUGUGUGUGUGUGUGUGUGUGUGUGUGUGUGUGGUGUCGUGCUUAUUUGCCCCAAAUGAGGCAAGAGAGCAGUGAUCAGGUGUCUCCCCAGCAUCUAGUUUCAUGAAGACAAUAGAAGUGGGUCGGAUCAGGCCUGCUGCCAUGCUUGGCUUGCCCAUGUCUCCUAGGAUUGGCUGCCUGGUGGCCAUCCCUUUGCCAUCCCCUUGACUGCCCUGUGAAUGAUGUCCACUCUGAGACCCCAGGCCACUCAGAAAAACUGAAGAUUCUCAAGUUCAGGUGCAGUUAGGGGGCAGGUCCUGGUGGUGGGGGAGCUUUGAUGUUCUGCAGUUGGAGGAUCCUCUUUCAGAAUAGUAAUGCAAUUUGUGAAUUAAUAAAAUUAGGUAUGCAAGAGGAUAUGUAGAAAAGAAAAAUCACAAGCUACACAAUUUUUAAGUUGACAAAACUACGAACAUCACAAAAUAAUAUGAUAUUUUAAAUUAAUUAUCUGCCUGGA